CAGCCGCCACGGGAAUACGAAGGGGGCUAGUGUUGUUCGGAAUCACUGGGCGUAAAGCGCACGUAGGCGGACUUUUAAGUCAGGGGUGAAAUCCCAAGGCUCAACCUUGGAACUGCCUUUGAUACUGGAAGUCUUGAGUUCGGGAGAGGUGAGUGGAACUGCGAGUGUAGAGGUGAAAUUCGUAGAUAUUCGCAAGAACACCAGUGGCGAAGGCGGCUCACUGGCCCGAUACUGACGCUGAGGUGCGAAAGCGUGGGGAGCAAACAGGAUUAGAUACCCCGGUAGUCCCUGUCUCUUAUAC
rnacentral:rRNA from 1 species